rnacentral:rRNA from 1 species
UUAUUGGAGAGUUUGAUCUUGGCUCAGGACGAACGCUGGCGGCGUGCCUAAUACAUGCAAGUCGAGCGCGUGAAACUAGUUGAUCCCUUCGGGGUGACGCUGGUGGACCGAGCGGCGGACGGG